GGGGGAAAAGUAGAGUGGCGCACGGGUGAGUAACACGUAGGUAAUCUACCUUCGGGUGGGGAAUAACCCAGGGAAACUUGGGCUAACACCGCAUAAUGCAGCGGCACCACAUGGUGACAGUUGUUAAAGCGGGGGAUUUUCGGACCUCGCGCCUGAAGAGGAGCCUGCGGCAGAUUAGCUAGUUGGUAAGGUAACGGCUUACCAAGGCGACGAUCUGUAGCCGGCCUGAGAGGGCGGUCGGCCACACUGACACUGACAUACGGGUCAGACUCCUACGGGAGGCAGCAGUCGGGAAUUUUGGGCAAUGGGCGAAAGCCUGACCCAGCAACGCCGCGUGAAGGAUGAAAUCCCUCGGGAUGUAAACUUCGCAAGAAUGGGAAGAAUUAGUAGGGGUUAAUACCCCCUAUGAUGACGGUACCAUUUGUAAGCUCCGGCUAACUCCGUGCCAGCAGCCGCGGUAAUACGGGGGGAGCAAGCGUUGUUCGGAUUUACUGGGCGUAAAGGGCGCGUAGGCGGCCAGCACAAGUCGGUUGUGAAAUCUCCGGGCUUAACUCGGAAAGGUCAACCGAUACUGUGCGGUUAGAGUGCGGAAGGGGCAACUGGAAUUCUCGGUGUAGCGGUGAAAUGCGUAGAUAUCGAGAGGAACACUGCGGCGAAAGCGGGUUGCUGGGCCGACACUGACGCUGAUGCGCGAAAGCCAGGGGAGCGAACGGGAUUAGAUACCCCGGUAGUC
rnacentral:rRNA from 1 species